rnacentral:rRNA from 1 species
GUAGGUGGCAAGCGUUGUCCGGAAUUAUUGGGCGUAAAGCGCGCGCAGGCGGUUCUUUAAGUCUGAUGUGAAAGCCCACGGCUCAACCGUGGAGGGUCAUUGGAAACUGGAGAACUUGAGUACAGAAGAGGAAAGCGGAAUUCCACGUGUAGCGGUGAAAUGCGUAGAGAUGUGGAGGAACACCAGUGGCGAAGGCGGCUUUCUGGUCUGUAACUGACGCUGAGGCGCGAAAGCGUGGGGAGCAAACAGGAUUAGAUACCCUGGUAGUCCACGCCGUAAACGAUGAGUGCUAAGUGUUAGGGGGGUUUCCGCCCCCCUUAGUGCUGCAGCUAACGCAUUAAGCACUCCGCCUGGGAUACGGCCGCAGUGCUG